UUCUCUUUCCUUUGAAAAAACAAUAUACCUUAAAAGCUAUCAUUAUAUAUAUAUAUAUAUAUAUAUAUAUAAUCAUUCCCCCAGAAAGAAAGUAUAAGUUUAUAUAUGAUAUCUUUGUGUUGGCUCAUUAUUGUAAGAAUAAAGUUAGAAAAGUUAGAAUGAUCUGUUUCCUUUAAACAUCGUGAGCCACUUCUUCGUGUCCAUGCAUCCAACCUAACCCAAGUUUUUUUGUAUUUUAACAUUCUACCUUUUCUAAGUCCUACCAAGUUAGUUUGAUAAUUCAUUUCAGAAUAAUAAAUUAUAAUUAAAUUUAGAAAUAAUAAUCUUUUAUUUUUAACUUAAACAAAACCUUUGUUUAAGAUCCCAACUUUAGGGGUCUACUAAGUAAGCGGGCAGUCGGAUGUAGUUUUUAUUAGGAUAUAUAAAUAAAUCAUAAUUCAUAGAUGAAAAUUUUAAAGAUUCUAGUUCUGGGUUUUUUAUUCUUUGGGUUAGAACUUACGGACAGACAAAAAGAAAGAUGGAGAAUAUAGUUAUUUUAGUUUUUUUUUAUCAUGGAAAAUGUACUGCCCAUAAAGUAAACCCAGCAGAUUACCCAACAUGUCAUGCACAGUAGUUCUCCUCAAUAAAUAGCAUGAUCUUUGAUGUGGGUGAGAUAGGAGUGCCAUUAGAAGACGUAAACUUGAAAAAAGAAUAGUGAAAGAUUGACUUUGGUGGUAGUGGAGAGAGCACCAGUACUAUAUUGUUACCACAUUCUGGGGUUGCACCCAUGAUUUCUCAGCUUUUUCAGAACGACGUGGACUUGAGAUUUCUUAUACAUCAAAGAUGUAUGGAUAUUGUGAUUGUCGUCCAACCAAGGUUCAUUUGACCCACCACCCCCACCAGGUAGGGUUUUGGUCCCUCCCUCCUUCUUUUUUUAAGAUUUUAUUUCAGUCCUUUAAUACCAAAUGUUUAGCUUUACCCCUUUGACGUCGGUAUUCAAUUGCAGGCCCAUCUCAAGCAUGGGUUGAGACUUUGAAUUAUUUUAAAUAUUAAAAGAGAAUUGUAUCUUUAUGUUGUGUUUGCAUUAUAUUUUCAUUUAUAGUACAUUUUUGUAAAAUUUGUUAUAAGAUUCAAUUUCAAAAAAAUUUCAUGGGCUCAUAUUAGUGUUUUUUAAUACAAAUUUCUAUAUUAUAUAUAUUUAUAUAUAUAUUUGCAUGCUCGUGAUAUUCAACUUUUUUUUUUUAAUCAUGUGUUUAAUAAAUCAUUAUUUUUUAUUUAUAAAAAUUAAGAGUUAUCAUUUCAAUUUUUACUUAAUAGCAAAAAUUCAAAAAAAAAAUAAUAAAAGAGAAUAAGAUAAGUAGUUAGACAUUUACUUAUUAUUUAAUGUUAAAAAUUUAAGUUAAUUUUAUAUUUUACAGGCUAAAGGUUCAAACCAGCUCUGAGUGUAUUCAAUUAAGUUCUUUUGUUAAUAGAAAAAGUGUAUCUAAUUGAACCCCUAAUGAAAACAAAGUCAAUUAGAUUCUUUCGUUAAUGAAGAUAAUCAUCGAUCGGUUUGAUUGUUAAGGAACGCUGGUGUGGUUGGCAUAAACGAUGACAAUCUAAAACAUGAUAUGCCAUGUCAACAUAUAAUUAAAAAUAAAAAAUGAAAAAUAAUUCUUUUAAAAAUGUACUUAUAAAAUAUAUUUGGCCAAAAUGACAUCUAACUUCAUUUGAAUCUAAACAUCCUUUUGUAUAGGUUCAUUUUGGAUAUGGUUAUUAAAAAAUUGUUGAGGGGGAUCUACUCCUUCGGGAGAAGUCUCUGAAGCAUUGUUCGCGGGCAAUCAAUACGGCCCCCAACAAUCUUAGGCAUUGUCUCAGGACACGAGUUUUGUCUCCCAACUUUGCGAAGAGCCUCAAGGGUUCACGGAAUAGGAGCACCUCGGUUGAUGGAGAGAGUACGCACUUGAAGGACACGUAGAUAAUUAAUCGAUGAAGUUGCUCGCAAUGUGGACCGAACCACUAACUAAUGUAUAACUAGCCUCUUCAAGGAGACAUGGUGCCACUUGGCUGACACAGAUUCUGGCUCCCGACUUCGCAAAAAGCCUCGAGGAUUCACGAAGUGGGAGCACCUUGGUUGGUGGGGAGAGUAUGUACAUGAAGGACAUGUGGAUAAUUAAUCGAUGAAGUCGCGCGCAAUGUGGAUCGAACCACCAACCAAUGCAUAAUUAACAUGUCUCCUUGAAAAGGCUAGUUAUGCCUUGAUUGGUGGUUCGAUCCACAUCAUACACAACUUUAUCGAUUAAUUAUGUAUGCAUCUUUCAUGUAUGUACUUUUCCCACCAACUGAGGUGCUCCCACUUUGUAAACUCUCGAGGCUCUCCGCAGAGUUGGGAGACAAAACUCGUAUCUUGGGACAAUGUCUACAAUUGUUGGGGGCCGUAUCGACUGCUCGACAGAUGAUACUUUGAAGACUUCUCUUUAAAAAGUUGAUCCCCCUUAACAAAAAUCAUAACACAUCUUUCUAAAAAAUUAUUAAAAAUGAUGAAAAUAUAAAAAUUGUAAAAAGUAUAAAUAAAUUAACUUAUUAAAAUUAUAAUUGCUUUAAAAAAUUAUAAAAAAUUAACUAAUGGGAUAUUCAUCAAAAUGUCUCAAGAAAAUCAUUUAAAAAGAUCUUCAUAUUUAUUUUUCAUAUGAAUUACAUGAAAAAGAAUACAACAAUGACUUUAGUUACAUAUUUGCAAUAAUCAAUGUAGUUCCUACCAUUGCUUUGCUCUCUUACGGCUUCUUCAAUACUAGAUUCUAGCACUUUGAAUUUACUUUUCUCACAAAAUACUAUAAUUUUGCUAAUCAAUGUAGUUCCUAUAUAUCAUUGCUUUGCUCUCUUACGUUAACUCAUUGCCUACUCCCCUCUGUCCAGAAAUAUGAGAAUUUUACCAAUGAAAUUGCCAAU
rnacentral:lncRNA from 1 species